CGGAAGCUGAGGACUCUCGAAACCAAGCAGUAGAGGCGAACCUGGGCUGCUUUAGAGGCGGUGACAUUCGAGGAGUCUUCUCCUGGGAGGCCCCACCGCGGAGCGGAGCCCACCCUGCUCAGGGCUCGGGAAGACCCGACGGGGACUAAGGCUAGCCCUGGAAGUCCAAGUCCGAGUCGCAUUUCUUGAAGCGGCUGAGCCGGGCAACACUGUGACAUUGGCCCUGGAGACGGGUUUCUCAUGAGCUGUUCUUUCCCAAGACUUCCACGGCGCGGGGCCAUCUCCAGAAAGCAAUCUUCUGCAUGCAUUUCCUUCUAUCGUCAACCCGGAGCCCCACAGCAGCGAAUGCAAGAGGCCAAAAAAUGUUUUGGAGGAAGAAAAACAAAGGCAGGAAGUGGCGGCGGACUGACGGUCUAGGCAGCCCUCGCAGGGCCGGCCCCAUCGCUCCCCGCGCAGCGUUUGGAGAUGGCCACCCGGAGCGGAGACGGCUGGCGCCCGCCCGCGCCAACCUCUUCAGGCGGAAAUGGCUAACGAGGAGAUUUGCUCAGCAAAGCAGACCUCGCCUUUCCAAGGCUUCGUUUGAUUAGGCCCUAAUGUUGGGGGGUUGCGGGGGCUUAGAGGUGUUCUGCAGCACCUCCGGACCCUUCUCCAGCGGGCUGAGUGCGCCUGGGCAGGGAUGGGCUGGUUCCUGCGACCGCGCGCUCCCAGCGCUGUCCUAGGCAGGCUGUCGGAAUAAAGUGUGUCCAGGUGCUUCUGCCCAGCA